rnacentral:rRNA from 1 species
AUUUUGCUCAAUGGGGGAAACCCUGAAGCAGCAACGCCGCGUGAGGGAUGAAGGCCUUCGGGUUGUAAACCUCUUUUCUCAGGGACGAUGAUGACGGUACCUGAGGAAUAAGCCACGGCUAACUACGUGCCAGCAGCCGCGGUAAUACGUAGGUGGCAAGCGUUGUCCGGAUUUACUGGGCGUAAAGAGCGCGCAGGCGGUCGUUUAAGUCGAAUGUGAAAGCCCCCGGCUCAACUGGGGAGGGUCAUUCGAUACUGAUCGACUUGAAGGCAGGAGAGGGAAGUGGAAUUCCGGGUGUAGUGGUGAAAUGCGUAGAUAUCCGGAGGAACACCAGUGGCGAAGGCGACUUCCUGGCCUGUUCUUGACGCUGAGGCGCGAAAGCUGGGGGAGCAAACGGG